UGGGGAAUCUUCCGCAAUGGACGAAAGUCUGACGGAGCAACGCCGCGUGAGUGAAGACGGCCUUCGGGUUGUAAAGCUCUGUGAUCCGGGACGAAAGAGCCUGAGGUAAAUAGCCUAAGGAAGUGACGGUACCGGAAAAGCAAGCCACGGCUAACUACGUGCCAGCAGCCGCGGUAAUACGUAGGUGGCAAGCGUUGUCCGGAAUUAUUGGGCGUAAAGCGCGCGCAGGCGGCUUACUAAGUCCAUCUUAAAAGUGCGGGGCUUAACCCCGUGAUGGGAUGGAAACUGGAAAGCUGGAGUAUCGGAGAGGAGUGGAAUUCCUAGUGUAGCGGUGAAAUGCGUAGAGAUUAGGAAGAACACCGGUGGCGAAGGCGACUUUCUGGACGAAAACUGACGCUGAGGCGCGAAAGCGUGGGGAGCAAACAGG
rnacentral:rRNA from 1 species